rnacentral:hammerhead_ribozyme from 1 species
AUCCAUAUGACGAGUCCCAAAUAGGAUGAAACUCACUUCCUGGAU